GUGGGGAAUAUUGGACAAUGGGCGAAAGCCUGAUCCAGCCAUGCCGCGUGUGUGAAGAAGGUCUUCGGAUUGUAAAGCACUUUAAGUUGGGAGGAAGGGCAGUAAGUUAAUACCUUGCUGUUUUGACGUUACCGACAGAAUAAGCACCGGCUAACUUCGUGCCAGCAGCCGCGGUAAUACGAAGGGUGCAAGCGUUAAUCGGAAUUACUGGGCGUAAAGCGCGCGUAGGUGGUUUUGUAAGUUGGAGGUGAAAUCCCCGGGCUCAACCUGGGAACUGCCUCCAAAACUACAUGACUAGAGUACGGUAGAGGGUAGUGGAAUUUCCUGUGUAGCGGUGAAAUGCGUAGAUAUAGGAAGGAACACCAGUGGCGAAGGCGACUACCUGGACUGAUACUGACACUGAGGUGCGAAAGCGUGGGGAGCAAACAGGAUUAGAAACCCGAGUAGUCC
rnacentral:rRNA from 1 species